UUCUUAUCCACAGACAUCAGUGAAUUUUCUGGAGGGACAACUGUCUCCCUAUGUGGAAAAGCCAAUUUUGGAUUCACUUGCAAGUCCACUCCAGUAUUCUUAAGGUGAUCUCUCGAGAUCCCGCGAGAACUGGCUUUCUCUGGGAGGAGUGGUGGAGGCAGCAGCGCCGGUCCGGGAGUCCACGUUUCUCUGAGCCUCCCCCGAUGCUCGGCGCUGGGUGGAGAGCGAGCAGAGCCCGAGCUGUGCCGCAGGGGAGCAGGAGGAGGCGCUGGCAGCCAGGGUCCCUCGGCGAGGUCGAGACGCUUCGCAGGCCGGAGGAACGACUGGCCCCAGGGAUGUGUUAUACACGUCUCUUCAGGAGAAUCAGAUUGAGUCAUACAUUGGGUAAAGGACCAGAUUUCUAUUCUCCGUCUGGUCCGGCACACGGCUGGGUGCAGCGGCCCCCA